AUAGUACUCCCACCGUUCCGAAUUAUUUGUCUUGGAUUUGUUUAGAUACAGAUGUAUCUAGACUCAUUUUAGUGCUAGAUACCUCCGUAUCAAGACAAAUCCAAGACAAGUAAUUUGAAAUAGAGGGAAUAGAAC
rfam:Triticum urartu cultivar G1812 contig1099881, whole genome shotgun sequence.